rnacentral:rRNA from 1 species
GACGAACGCUGGCGGCGUGCUUAACACAUGCAAGUCGAGGGCACGUUUGGGGGCAACCCUGGAGUGACCGGCGAACGGGUGCGUAACACGUGAGCGACCUUGCCUCGUGGUGGGGGAUAGCCGGCCCAACGGCCGGGUAAUACCGCAUAUGGUGCUGACUCCGCAUGGAGACGGCAGCAAAGCCCUGGAGCAAUCCAGUGGCGCCACAGGGGGGCUCGCGGCCUAUCAGCUAGUUGGGGGGUAAUGGCCCACCAAGGCGACGACGGGUAGCUGGUCUGAGAGGAUGG